AUCCCCACCCCUCACAAACACACACACAAGGUAUGAGUUAAGAAUUUCCAGACAACUCAAAUCAAUGUGUUAACAUUUAUUUAUUUGCCAAAAGCAAGAGUGGUUACAUUGUUGAUUAAAACUAUACUCCUAGAGUGAAUCUGAUAGCACUAAGAACAGCCUAAUUCCAUUAAUAUGCAUCUAGUUUUCAUAAUCUUCACCCCAGUGUGAACAGGGAUGUUGACAGGCUUUUGGUGAAGCUAAGAGUACAAGAAACACAGAGAAAGAAAAAAGAGUCAUUAGGUAGAUCUGAUAUUAAUGUAGCUGUCAAUAUCAAGGAAGUCCUGGGAACAAACAAUGGAGCAAGAUAGCCUUAUAAUUAUUGAUUUGAGUUCUAAAAUGUGUAUGCUGACAUGUACUUGCUUCAAAAUGACAAUACGUCUUAUAAUAUGGAACAGAUGGCAAAAUAUAAUGUACAUUUCUUAAUGUAAUAAUAUACAGGUUAUUUUCUGUGAUAUUAAGAUACUUACUGGCCCUAAUGGCAUCCAGAUUAUUUUCCAACGUUGCCAAUGCCGGUGUUGCCUCCACCCCCAUCUAUGUUGCCAAUGUUACUUCCUCCACCUCCUGAUACAUUGCCAAUGUCCUCGUUGCCUCCACCACCGUGUACGUCGCCAAUGUGAGUUCCUCCACCUCCUGAUACAUUGCCAAUGCCCUUGUUGCCUCCACCUCCUGAUAUGUUGCCAAUGGAACUACCUUUGUUUUUGUCCUCACAGUGUGGUUUACAUCUAUCCAUUGCCGCUAUGAUAUCUGUGUCUGUGUUCUUCCUUGGUACAGUGGAGCUCUUGAAGGUAAUAGUGAACAGGUGUUGUAGUACAGAGUGGAGGGAUAGUUCUGCUUUUAUAGGAUAGAGACACGCUGGAUGAGAGAAAGGGAGGCUGGUUCUUGACUUAUUACAGUUAUUGAAAUCCAGGUCACUUCCAGAGAACUAAAGAGAGUAAAUAUUGUCGUUAUAGAGUUGGAUAAUUUCCAGAGUAUAUUACCAAAUUGUACCUGUUGUUGCCAAUCAAGUCUCCACCUGUAAUUUGAGCUCCUAUUGUGUUAAAUUGCUGUGAUUCAAAUGAUUUCAGCAUCAUUUCAGCAGUUUUUCUAAGUUGCCGUUAUUGGAUGGUGAACAUGCUGCCC
ensembl:lncRNA